AGCGAACGCUGGCGGCAGGCCUAACACAUGCAAGUCGAACGGACCCUUCGGGGUUAGUGGCGGACGGGUGAGUAACACGUGGGAACGUGCCUUUAGGUUCGGAAUAGCUCCUGGAAACGGGUGGUAAUGCCGAAUGUGCCCUUCGGGGGAAAGAUUUAUCGCCUUUAGAGCGGCCCGCGUCUGAUUAGCUUGUUGGUGGGGUAAUGGCCCACCAAGGCUACGAUCAGUAGCUGGUCAGAGAGGAUGACCAGCCACAUUGGGACUGAGACACGGCCCAAACUCCUACGGGAGGCAGCAGAGGGGAAUCUUGCGCAAUGGGCGAAAGCCUGACGCAGCCAUGCCGCGUGUAUGAUGAAGGUCUUAGGAUUGUAAAAUACUUUCACCGGUGAAGAUAAUGACUGUAGCCGGAGAAGAAGCCCCGGCUAACUUCGUGCCAGCAGCCGCGGUAAUACGAAGGGGGCUAGCGUUGCUCGGAAUUACUGGGCGUAAAGGGAGCGUAGGCGGACAUUUAAGUC
rnacentral:rRNA from 1 species